AUCGCGAUCCGAUUAUCGUCAACGUCAUCAAGUCCCGUCUUACAUACUACGAAUACACAGGGGGACUUCAAUUUUGGAUUGAUCGAGCAUCUUACAGCUGUAUAAAGAUAGAGAGAAUUCCAAUGAACUACGCAUUUUAAUUCAAGUUCAUAUCAGACUACAGAAUUUAGUGCCAUGCGCAGUUUCGCAAUCAUGUGAAUUUGUAACGCAAUAACUGCGGUCAUAUUGUAUUACUGGAUCGCUAAUGAGUGACUCAUCUUCCGAAUUUGUUCCACGGUUUUAUUAGAUAAGCCAAGUCGCUACUCGGCCAAGCGUCGAGUAUUACAUUAGUCAACUGCAGUCAGUAGCCAACAAUUCGUUGCCACCAAACUGGACAAAACUUGAUAUUCGAAGAGAGUUUCACGCGCUAACCGCAAUAAUGGGCAACAUCAUACGCCAUCCUGGAAUGAUACACGCUCCGCCUGGAUCGUCACCAGGAGCAGUACACACAGUGAUUCAACCGUCGCCACCGAAUUAUUUCCAGCAGAGCAGGAUCGUUAUAAUUGCUGCAAUAGUAAUAUUGGUUGUCUUGUGGAUAAUAGUCGUACUACAUUACACUCGUUGAAGUAUAAAAAAUAAAGCGUUUCGUCAUCGUAGAUGCGAAGUUUAA